rnacentral:rRNA from 1 species
UACGUAGGGUGCGAGCGUUGUCCGGAAUUAUUGGGCGUAAAGGGCUCGUAGGCGGUUUGUCGCGUCGGGAGUGAAAACACCGGGCUUAACUCGGUGCUUGCUUCCGAUACGGGCAGACUAGAGGUAUGCAGGGGAGAACGGAAUUCCUGGUGUAGCGGUGAAAUGCGCAGAUAUCAGGAGGAACACCGGUGGCGAAGGCGGUUCUCUGGGCAUUACCUGACGCUGAGGAGCGAAAGUGUGGGGAGCGAACAGG